rnacentral:rRNA from 1 species
UACGUAGGGACCAAGCGUUGUCCGGAAUCAUUGGGCGUAAAGAGCGUGUAGGCGGCCUGUUAAGUCUUGCGUGAAAUCUCGGGGCUCAACCCCGAGCGGUCGUGAGAAACUGGCAGGCUAGAGUGCGGGAGAGGAGAGUGGAAUUCCUGGUGUAGCGGUGAAAUGCGCAGAUAUCAGGAAGAACACCCGUGGCGAAAGCGGCUCACUGGACCACAACUGACGCUGAGGCGCGAAAGCUAGGGGAGCAAACAGG